rnacentral:rRNA from 1 species
AUUGAACGCUGGCGGCAUGCUUUACACAUGCAAGUCGAACGGUAACAGGCCGCAAGGUGCUGACGAGUGGCGAACGGGUGAGUAAUGCAUCGGAACGUGCCCAGUCGUGGGGGAUAACGCAGCGAAAGCUGUGCUAAUACCGCAUACGAUCUAUGGAUGAAAGCGGGGGACCGUAAGGCCUCGCGCGAUUGGAGCGGCCGAUGUCAGAUUAGGUAGUUGGUGGGGUAAAGGCUCACCAAGCCAACGAUCUGUAGCUGGUCUGAGAGGACGACCAGCCACACUGGGACUGAGACACGGCCCAGACUCCUACGGGAGGCAGCAGUGGGGAAUUUUGGACAAUGGGCGCAAGCCUGAUCCAGCAAUGCCGCGUGCAGGAAGAAGGCCUUCGGGUUGUAAACUGCUUUUGUACGGAACGAAACGGUCUGGGUUAAUACCCUGGGCUAAUGACGGUACCGUAGGAAUAAGCACCGGCUAACUACGUGCCAGCAGCCGCGGUAAGAC